rnacentral:misc_RNA from 1 species
UAGCCUUUCAGCUUGUGAGGAACAACACCCAGAUCAGCAAAUGUCAGAGCGCUUUCCGAAACCACUGUAUCGACAGACUGUGCGUUGAUUUGGUCCAGAUUGAAUAUCUCAGGAAUUGGUAAUGGACACGGCAAUUUGUUUAGCAAGAAUUCGCGAGGUGAUGCAAUCGCCCUUGCAAUGGGAAAAGGAACCUUCACAUAACGCGGCCACUCACGAAUUGUCUCAUACAUCACAUCUGCCAGUUGAUGUACGGUAAAAACAUCAGGCCCG